UUUUUCUUUUUCUUCUUCACUGGUAUGUUGUGGAUUUCUGGUAUGUUCACCAGAUCUGUGACCUUUACUCUGUCUGCCCCUUUUUUCUCUUCAAGCGAAUUUUUAAACCUUCUACAUUUAAACACCACCCCCCCUUCCGCUCUCCUUUGGCUGAGUUUAAUGUUGCUUUUCCCUUGUUCUUUCCUUCUCCUCCUCCUUGCAUUAAUGUCGAGUUUCUUUCUUCGCUGGUAAAUUGUGGAUUUAUGAUAUAGUGAUUCUCUACCUUUAUGCCCAUCUCAUAAGUGACCUGGGAUUUGUCACCCUGUGUAGGACGCUAGUUAUUUAUUGGUGGACCUUCUGAAUUAUGUUGUUAAAUGACCCCUGUUUUAUUGUUCUUUUUGAUAGUAUCUUGUGCCUGUCUUGAUUGUUGGUUGCUCAUAAAUUGGUGUUGCCCAUGUUCUCAAUGUAUGAGCACCAUGUAUUUUAAGUGAUUCCAAACUUGUGUGAUAAAGCAAUUUUACUCCUG
rnacentral:misc_RNA from 1 species